ensembl:lncRNA
GAUCCUGGGUGACCCUGCCAAUUUUUGGGGGGCUUCCUGAGUUCCUAGGGGGGCUUCCUAGCUUCUUGGGGGGGGUUCCCCAAGAUCCUGGGUGACCCCACCAAGUUUUGGGGGGCUUCCUGAGUUCCUAGGGGGGCUUCCCAGGUUCUGGGGGGGGGGGGGGGUUCCCCAAGAUCCUGGGUGACCCCACCAACUUUUGAGGGGCUGAGUUCCUAGGGGGGCUUCCCAGGUUCUGGGGGGGGGGGGUUCCCCAAGAUCCUGGAGGACCACACCAACUUUUGGGGGGCUUCCUGAGUUCCUAGGGGGGCUUCCCAGGUUCUUGGGGGGGGGGUUCCCCAAGAUUCUGGAGGACCCCACCAACUUUUGGGGGGCUUCCUGAGUUCCUAGGGGGGCUUCCCAGGUUCCUGGGGGGGGGUUCCCCAAGAUCCUGAGUGACCCCACCAACUUUAGAGGGGCUGAGUUCCUAGGGGG